CCUACGGGAGGCAGCAGUGGGGAAUAUUGGACAAUGGGCGGAAGCCUGAUCCAGCAACGCCGCGUGAGGGAUGACGGCCUUCGGGUUGUAAACCUCUUUCAGUAUCGACGAAGCGCCCGUGUGGGUGGUGACGGUAGGUACAGAAGAAGCACCGGCCAACUACGUGCCAGCAGCCGCGGUAAUACGUAGGGUGCGAGCGUUGUCCGGAAUUAUUGGGCGUAAAGGGCUCGUAGGCGGUUUGUCGCGUCGGGAGUGAAAACACUGGGCUUAACCGAGUGCUUGCUUUCGAUACGGGCAGACUAGAGGUAUGCAGGGGAGAACGGAAUUCCUGGUGUAGCGGUGAAAUGCGCAGAUAUCAGGAGGAACACCGGUGGCGAAGGCGGUUCUCUGGGCAUUACCUGACGCUGAGGAGCGAAAGUGUGGGGAGCGAACAGGAUUAGAUACCCUGGUAGUCCACACCGUAAACGUUGGGCGCUAGGUGUGGGGCCUAUUCCAUGGGUUCCGUGCCGCAGCUAACGCAUUAAGCGCCCCGCCUGGGGAGUACGGCCGCAAGGCUAAAACUCAAAGGAAUUGACGG
rnacentral:rRNA from 1 species